GUCGCAUUGGCGCAAUGGUAGCGCGCAAGACUUCUAAUCUUGAGGUUGUGGGUUCGAGCCCCACAUGCGAUG
rnacentral:tRNA from 3 species